rnacentral:rRNA from 1 species
GAACGAAGGCUUCGGCCUUAGUGGCGCACGGGUGCGUAACGCGUGGGAAUCUGCCCUUAGGUUCGGAAUAACAGUUAGAAAUGACUGCUAAUACCGGAUGAUGACGAAAGUCCAAAGAUUUAUCGCCUGAGGAUGAGCCCGCGUAGGAUUAGCUAGUUGGUGUGGUAAAGGCGCACCAAGGCGACGAUCCUUAGCUGGUCUGAGAGGAUGAUCAGCCACACUGGGACUGAGACACGGCCCAGACUCCUACGGGAGGCAGCAGUGGGGAAUAUUGGACAAUGGGCGCAAGCCUGAUCCAGCAAUGCCGCGUGAGUGAUGAAGGCCUUAGGGUUGUAAAGCUCUUUUACCCGUGAUGAUAAUGACAGUAGCGGGAGAAUAAGCCCCGGCUAACUCCGUG